AUUGAACGCUGGCGGCAUGCCUUACACAUGCAAGUCGAACGGCAGCGGACCUUCGGGUGCCGGCGAGUGGCGAACGGGUGAGUAAUAUAUCGGAACGUGCCCAGUCGUGGGGGAUAACGUAGCGAAAGCUACGCUAAUACCGCAUACGAUCUAUGGAUGAAAGCGGGGGACCGCAAGGCCUCGCGCUAUUGGAGCGGCCGAUGUCAGAUUAGGUAGUUGGUGGGUAAAGGCCUACCAAGCCUACGAUCUGUAGCUGGUCUGAGAGGACGACCAGCCACACUGGGACUGAGACACGGCCCAGACUCCUACGGGAGGCAGCAGUGGGGAAUUUUGGACAAUGGGCGAAAGCCUGAUCCAGCCAUGCCGCGUGCGGGAAGAAGGCCUCGG
rnacentral:rRNA from 1 species